AAUGAACGUUGGCGGCGUGGAUUAGGCAUGCAAGUCGCGCGACAAGGUUUUGUUAGCUUGCUAAUGAAACUGGAGGAGCGGCGAAAGGGAGAGUAACGCGUGGGUAUCUGCCCUUAGGUCCGGGAUAGCAGGGAGAAAUCGCUGGUAAUACCGGAUAACAUCUCAGGAUCAAAGGUGUGAUUCCGCCUGAGGAUGGGCCCGCGUCCUAUUAGGUAGUUGGUGGGGUAAUGGCCUACCAAGCCAAAGAUGGGUACCGGGUGUGAGAGCAUGGCCCGGCUCACUGGGACUGAGACACUGCCCAGACACCUACGGGUGGCUGCAGUCGAGAAUCUUCCGCAAUGGACGAAAGUCUGACGGAGCGACGCCGCGUGCGGGAUGAAGGCCCUCGGGUUGUAAACCGCUGUCAGAGGGUAGCAAAUUUGUUUGGGGGUUUCCCCUUUCAUUGAGCGAUCCUCAGAGGAAGUACGGGCUAAGUUCGUGCCAGC
rnacentral:rRNA from 1 species